GGCGUCAGUGGCAGACGGGUGAGUAACACGUGGGAACAUACCCUUCGGUUCGGAACAACUCAGGGAAACUUGAGCUAAUACCGGAUACGCCCUUCGGGGGAAAGAUUUAUCGCUGAAGGAUUGGCCCGCGUCUGAUUAGCUAGUUGGUGAGGUAAUGGCUCACCAAGGCGACGAUCAGUAGCUGGUCUGAGAGGAUGAUCAGCCACACUGGGACUGAGACACGGCCCAGACUCCUACGGGAGGCAGCAGUGGGGAAUAUUGGACAAUGGGCGCAAGCCUGAUCCAGCCAUGCCGCGUGAGUGAUGAAGGCCUUAGGGUUGUAAAGCUCUUUCGACGGGGACGAUAAUGACGGUACCCGUAGAAGAAGCCCCGGCUAACUUCGUGCCAGCAGCCGCGGUAAUACGAAGGGGGCUAGCGUUGCUCGGAAUCACUGGGCGUAAAGGGCGCGUAGGCGGCCAUUCAAGUCGGGGGUGAAAGCCUGGAGCUCAACUCCAGAAUUGCCUUUGAUACUGUUUGGCUUGAGACCGGAAGAGGUAAGUGGAACUGCGAGUGUAGAGGUGAAAUUCGUAGAUAUUCGCAAGAACACCAGUGGCGAAGGCGGCUUACUGGUCCGGUUCUGACGCUGAGGCGCGAAAGCGUGGGGAGC
rnacentral:rRNA from 1 species